UAGAUACUCCCUCCGUCCGGAAAUACUUGUCGGAGAAAUGAAUAUAUCUAGAUGUAUUUUAGUUCUAGAUACAUCUAUUUUUAUCCAUUUUUCCGACAAGUAUUUUCGGAUGGAGGGAGUACUUC
rnacentral:pre_miRNA from 1 species